rnacentral:rRNA from 1 species
ACCGGCAGCUCAAGUGGUGGCCAUUUUUAUUGGGCCUAAAGCGUUCGUAGCCGGUGUGACAAGUCUCUGGUGAAAUCCCGCAGAUUAACUGUGGGACUUGCUGGAUAUACUAUUAGACUUGAAGUCGGCAGAGGUUAGGGGUACUCCCAGGGCAGGAGUGAAAUCCUAUCAUCCUGGGAGGAAUACCUGUGGCGAAUGGGCCUAACUGUAACGAACCUGACCGUCAAAAACGAAAGCCAGGGGCGCGCACUG